AAUGUAAUAAUAUCAACAAUAACAGCAAACAAAAUGUUUCUCUCAUCUCCAUCAUCUCACAGUAUUUUUCCUACAGUUUGUUCUGAUCACUGUUUUAUUCCAUUUGGUGAUGAUGUCCUCACCAUCAGAGAGCUGAAACACACAGUCGUAUAUUCUCCAGCCUUCAGGUGUAACUGAUCAAAACAUUCAGAUCAACACUAAUUUGAAAGAUCUCAUCAUUGUUGGGGAGCAUCUCUCUGUGGUCCACACCAUCAUGAAUCUCCUCUGUGUCUUUCUUCCAGAACAUCUGUCAGGAUAGAAACCUGUAGCGUGGCAGCUGACAGGAGAGGAGGGAGUCUUCUGGAGGAGAGACACUGAGGGAAGAACUGGAGAGAAAGAAGACGUCUCACUGGUGAUUCGGAUCGUCAGACUGAAUCCCGCCGCCGUGGACCAGACUAAAAACACCGGCCUGGACCCGAAUUCACACGUUCCAGGGCUUUCGGCCUCAUCUAAGAGGGCUGUGCACAGACUUCGGUGCUGGCUCCACGGCGUCAGGAAACAGUAUGCCAGAUCCUGGAACAGAGUCACAGAUAACAGUUCUGAUAUUUCUGAAUCCGGCUCGAAGGACCAAAAUAAAUGUCAAGAGAUUUAUUCUAAAUGACACUUCUUCAGCUGAGAGUCUAAGAGUGAAGAGACACACACUGUAGAUCUUUACUUGCAAGGGCGGUCACAGAACGCUCACACCAGAGUGGGGGCCCUGUGAUGCGCGCUCUGUUCUUGCACUUGUCUUUAUUUAUAUGCAAAAAUAAUACAACAGUGAAUACGUCUAUUCAUAGGCAGAGGAAAGUUAGUGCAUAGGGAGUGAAGAUAAGAGUGGUUUAGGUGUAUGUGUGUGUGUUGUGAGAUUCAGAAGGACGCGGCCUCUCUUCUUGUUAGGGAGCGCAGAUAAAAGUGUCCAGCUCUUCCUCUUCCUGCUUGUUCAGCUAUUAUCGCUGUGAGAAAGAAUUUAUAAAACAGUCUUGUAGUGGACAACAGUCUAAGUCAUCAAAAGGUCAUCAUACAGUAUUCUAUCAUAUGCAAACUUAUAUCAUUAAAAGCUUAUACUGACUACUAAGUACAAUUUUCCAUUGACAGCUCCUUAGGGUCAAAUGCAUUUUGAAGGUUAAAAAAUAGAGACAAUAACACAAACUAGUGGGAAAAAAUGCUCUUUGAUGUGGUAGAGAUCAAAGAGAUCGCUUUCACUUUUACUUUAGUUGUUUAUUUAGUCAACAGAUGGACCAUCCUCCUUUAAAAGCAAAGACCUGAAGUAGAAGAAAAUAAUGCCAACAUAUGCAAGGCUGCAUAACUUUUACACAAUAGCUGGCAGCAUAAUAGAUAUGGUCCAUAGACACAUGGAACAAUAAUAAGGGCAAUUUUCCCUUCUUUUUAUAACGUGAGGAUUAUUUUUAUAGUAAAUAUUUAGGGAGGGUAUUGCAGCUGGAUUCACAUGUUUUUGUUUAACCAUCCACAACUAUGGUGGAUCUGCAUAUCUGGUCUCUCUCUCUCAGGUGUCCACUGGAUGAAGGGCUAUAAAUGAGAUGAGUUCAGAUGAACUGAAGAUUUUACAGAACCAAAAAAAAAAAAAUUCCAGCAAACCAAAAAAAUAAAAAAUAAAAGAAUAUAAAGAGAUUUAUAAAACACAAUUGAUAGUGCCAGUCUGAUCUGAAUUAGUUUCAUCAUUUUGGGAGUGUUUUUGGUUAAUAGCCCAUCUCUUCUGGCCAGCAAGAAAAGACCUUGAAAUGACCGCAGCAUGCUAAAAAUCACAACUUGUAACCAGUGUUGUGCAAUAGCUACUGGAGAAAGAUGUUUAAAUUUCUCACUGCUUUGUAAUAUGUAGGAAGAAGCGGAGUCUGUAGGUGUAUGGAUGAAGCCAAGUGAAGUCAUUUAAAGCAGUCAUGAUAAAAAAAAAGUGAAUCCAUGUAAAUCAGUGACAGCCAGAAAUUUAAAAUAUGUGUUUUUAAAUGAAACAUGAAAGAAAAUUUUUUUGACAGUCACCUUUCAAGCAUAUUGUUUAAUCAACGAAGUAAGCUUACUCAUCUGCAUAUCAAGUUGAAGUUUAAAUGUUAUUUGUCACAUACACGGUCAUACAAGUACAACAUGCAGUGAAAUGCUUGUGUCACGGGGGGGGCAAGCCAUUGCUGAAGGUGCGGUAUGAAUAACAAAAAACAAAAAAAAAAAAAAAAAAAAAAGAGUACUUGGACACUGCUAGCAUAAUGGACACAAAAAGAAAAAAAAACUACACAUAAAAUAAUUACACCAUAACGAUGUUUUUUUCUGUUAUUUAGAAGAUGUAGUAGUCUUUUUUAUUGCAACCUGUAAUUUAUUGCAGUUUACUUUUAUUUGUUUAAGUGUUUACAGAAGGUUUUAGGUGUGAAAUAAACUGCAUGGGGUUUGAAAACAAAUAUGUGUGUGUGUGUGUGUGUGUGUUUGGAGGAUGUAAAGAUUUUCUUGUAAGAACCAAGGGAGGCCUAGCAAAGAAACUUUGGGAAACACUUGUUUAGAGGAUAUUCAUUUUUUAA
ensembl:lncRNA